rnacentral:lncRNA from 10 species
ACCCACAAUGGAGCACUGCAGGUGCCCAUCUGCAAAGCCCAUCCUGUCCUCCAAACUCCAAAGUAGCUUCUACUUUCAGAGAACCCGACCGCCAUCUAGCAGAGGGGCAAGCAAGGACAACGAGGUGUCUGAGUGGAGGCAGGCACUCAGGGAGCCGCUCGGAGCCCGUUCUAGUGACUUGGUUAUUUCUGCCAGUACUGCUAUUGCCUGGGAGUGCCUGCAGACCUGAGUUUGGUUUCCUCCACAGGAAACAAGAGCUUGUGCACGGGUAGUUUAUUUGUUAGGUAACUCCAGGAAGCAAGAGAAAGAAGUCGGGAGAGAAAGGGGGGAUGGCGAAAUUCACAUGGUGGCCAGGUGUUGCUGAACUGCCUGACCCGUGGCUAACUGGGGCUCAGUCUCCACUGGGGUCCCGCUAAGGAAAUUAUAGAUAUGCCUCUGGGUUUCCUUCUAUUUCUUUCUAGUCACUGACUCCCAACCCUUUCUGAUGGAUGGCUCCCUCUCCUUCUCUCUCCCCACUUCAGGGUUGUCUUGUUUGGCUGAGUGAGCUCUGGGGGCGUUGAAGAAAGACCUGGGGCUAAAAGGAGUAAAAGAUGCAGAGGGCACUUGGAGUGGCACCACUGGCAGCAUGGCAAGUCGUGCCAUCCACAGCAGCAGCUGGAACAGGGGCCGAGGGGCAUGGGAUGGGGCCUGCUGGUCGCCACAGCCUGUUAGCUCCUGUACCUUUCUUGAGUUGCUGCCAGGAACUACCCUGUUGGUGGCUACCCUGAUCUUCCCAUGGGGAUACAAAUGACACAUGGAGGCUAAGCUUGGCGGCAGACAGCCUGCUGGGAUAAGCCAGAGGGGGCAGCAGCUUAGAGUCUGUGCAGCUCAGGCUGUCGGUGCACAGUUCCAGGUGGGCAGUGCUGUGGUUCUGUGUGCAGGCUCAGGAGCCAAACGGUGUUGGUUCAAAUCCUGGCUCUGCCACUUAUUAACUAGGAGCCUUUAGGUGAGCUCCUUACCGUGUCUCACCUGUAGGAUAGGGAAAAUGAAAGCACUUAGGAAAAUGAAACCACUGUAGAGGGUGGUUGUGAGGCUUGCAUGAAAUGAAGCCUGGGAAGCACUUUGUCCAGGGCUGGCGGGGAGAUGGAGGCAAUACUUGGUAGAGGUUAGAAUCAUUAGAUCUUUUACUCAGUAUCCUUCCUGCAAAGGAAGUCAACAUAGAGCUCUUUCCCACACACUGCAACUGCGUAGUAUCACUCUAUUGUCCGCUUUAAUAGCACCCACAAUUGCAAGCAUGUAAAUACAGCCACAGUUGUGAGAAGUAGCCCUGGAAUCAUUUCUUUCUCCUCUACUAUGUAACGGGCAAAAGAGCCAUUGUUGAAAUAAAGAAUAGCCUGUGCCCCUUCCCCACCUCAAGCUUCUGGGGCAAGGUCCAUUGCCAACUUAGAGUCUCUCUGAGGUCACUUACAUCUAUAAUUGCUUCAGAAUAAUUGUUUUAAUGCUUGCACCGAAAUCACCCUUUAUGCUCCAUGAAACAAACAGCUUUAAAGUCAUCUUUCAGCAGCUUUAUUUUGUGUUUACUAAAUUACUUAUUCCACAAUAAACCUGAUGAGAGGCAUGCUUCAUUAUUCUUAAGUUCUACUCUAGCAAAAGUAUAAUAAAUGUGGAU